AUACUCAGGUAAUCGCUGCAUGAAUUUUUCAUGCAGAGGAAAGUCCAUGCUCACACAAACUGAGAUGUUUGUAGUGUUCGUGCUUGACGAAAUCAUAAGUCAAGGUAGCUUUUAGGGCUAACGGCAGGAUACGUUCCUAAGUCAUCUAUGAUAUGGAACUACAUCCUUGAAAGUGCCACAGUGACGUAGCUAGAAUGGAAACAUUUUAGGUGGAACGAGGUAAACCCCACGAGUGAGCAACCCAAAUAAUGGUAGGGGCAUCCUUUAGUAGGGAAUUCAACCGAAAGAGGGACAAGUCUUUUGACUUGUAGAUAGAUGAUUACAACCGGCGUACGAGGAAUGACCACCGUUUGCAGUACAAUGGAACAGAACAUGGCUUAUCGAG
rnacentral:RNase_P_RNA from 1 species